rnacentral:rRNA from 1 species
UACAGAGGGGGCAAGCGUUGUUCGGAAUUACUGGGCGUAAAGGGCUCGUAGGCGGCCUGCUAAGUCGAACGUGAAAUCCCUGGGCUCAACCCAGGAACUGCGUCCGAUACUGGUUGGCUUGAAUCCGGGAGAGGGAUGUGGAAUUCCAGGUGUAGCGGUGAAAUGCGUAGAUAUCUGGAGGAACACCGGUGGCGAAGGCGACAUCCUGGACCGGCAUUGACGCUGAGGCGCGAAAGCCAGGGGAGCAAACGGG